AUAAAAAAAAAAUACGGAAAAGAAUUAAGAUGUAAAAAGUGUGAGAAACCCAUUUUCUCUCCUCCUCCCGUAUCCUCUCUCCUCCUCGUCUUUUGAGCCGCAACAGGAGCCCAUUAAACAGCAAGCCGACGACUGCCGAGUGCCGGCGCAAGAGCUCUGUCGUCCACGUGUCACCAAAGGCUCUCAAACUACACAUCCAGAAUGCUCUUGCCGUCCUUUAUCCAAUCCCCAAGUUGGUUUCUAUAAAUUCGUAGGCGAUUUCCUCAACUUCAAAUUUAAGAAACGGUGACCCAGGGUUUCCGGCCAACUUCCGGCCAUAUCGCCGGAAUUGGAGCUCGACCCAAGUGGUAGAAAUGAUCCUCUUCUCGUGGGCUGUUCUCCAAUUUUAUUUUCGCCCACGGGUCACCAACGGCCGUCAAAUUACAUAUCCAGACUCCUCUUUCCAUCCUCUUUCCAACUCCCAAGUUAGUUUCUACAGAUCCGUAGCCAAAUUUCCUCAAUUUCAUAUCAAAGAAACGGUCACCGCGGUUUUCCGGCCAAUAUUCUCGACCCAAGAGGUAUAAAUGAUCCUGUCCCGGUGGGCUGUCCUCCAAUAGUGGCAUUGAGGUCCCCCUUCCAUUCAGCCACUCCCAACGCGGUGCGUACUUGCAAUCGGGGAUGUGUGGCAAUAAGCUUUGGAGCUAAUAAGCUUAAGUUUUGCACGUCAUCAAACUCCAAUAACUCCAAAGACGGCAACUUCAAAGUAUAAGCUUCACCACAAAAAUACUUGAGUUUUGGCAGACUUUCAAGCUUGAUGGACUUCACUUUAGGUAAUGUAAUUGUUUCAUCAGUUUCUUCUUCUGCGGCAACGAUUUCUUCCAUCUUCUCACAGUUAUGAACUUCUAUGUCCUCUAUACUCACGAGAAGUUUGACUAUGGACGAUGAAAACAAGUAUUUCAACUGGUUGCAAAAACCAACCUCCAGCGAUUUCAAGUUUCCGAAGCUGCUUCCUGUCAACAUCGGUUGUGAACUACCCAUCUCCCAAACACGCGUUAAACCUGGCAAUCUAUCUAACCGCAAGGAACUCAAUUUAUUGAAUGCUUCAAUGGAGUGACUACUUUCUUCAUGCUUCGGUCCCUUGAGUUGGAAAAUCACUUCCAUCGAAUUACAGUCACUUACAGUUAAUUGGACGUGGCAAUAUUUCAAUGGGGCGGUGGGCGUUUGGUCUUGAAUAUGGUGCGCAUCCACAUCCAGCAGGGCACCAAUUUGAUGAACGUGUUGGAGAAGUGCUGAAAUCAUGACUUGUUGAAUCCUUCUUCAAGUUAUUCUCCAACUUCUUUCUUUGUGGAAUUACAACACCCAAUGUCUUCAAAUUUUCACAUCUUUUCACGUGCAUUUUUUUUGUGGAUGACCGUAGAAAUGUAAAUCCCUCUGGACAAAGACUUGUGAGACGAGGCAGGUCUUCUAGUUCAAAUGUGUUCAGUUUCGGAAACAAAAUCAUGUAUUUUGUCGCCUCUUCUUCAAUUUCCUCUGGGAUUCUGACUA